GCCAGGUGUGGUGGCAUGUGCUUGUUGCCCCAGCUACUCUAGAGACUGAGGUGGGAGGAUCCCUUGAGCCCAGGAGUUCUGGGCUGCAGUGUGCUAUGCUGAUCAGAUGUCCGCACUAAGUUCGGCAUCAAUAUGGUGACCUCCUGGGAGCGGGGAACCACCAGGUUGCCUAAGGAGGGGUGAACUGGCCUAGGUCGGAAACAGAGCAUGUCAAAACUCCCGUGCUGAUCAGCAGUGGGAUCAAGCCUGUGAAUAGCCACUGUACUCCAGCCUGGGCAACAGAGCGAGACCCCAUCUCU
rnacentral:SRP_RNA from 1 species